rnacentral:rRNA from 1 species
AUUGAACGCUAGCGGGAUGCCUUACACAUGCAAGUCGAACGGAGUGGCGAACGGGUGCGUAAUGUAUAGGAACGUGCCCAGUAGCGGGGGAUAACUACGAGAAAGCGUAGCUAAUACCGCAUACUAUUGGAGCGGCAGAUACCGGAUUAGCAAGUUGGUGGGGUAACGGCUCACCAAGGCGACGACCCGUAGCUGGUUUGAGAGGACGACCAGCCCCACUGUGACUGAUACACGGCCCAGACUCCUACGGGAGGAAGCAGUGGGGAAUUUUGGAAAAUGGGGGAAACCCUGAUCCAGCCAUCCCGCGUGUGCGAUGGAUGCCUUCGGGUUGUAAAGCACUUUUGGCAGGAAAGCGGUACCUGCAGAAUAAGCACCGGCUAACUACGUGCCAGCAGCCGCGGUAAUAC